CCAUGAGCAAAUAACCCACCCGGCUUCUCUCUCACACACACUUGCCUAAUCCAGCCACCCGACUCCUAUCGGUUACCGGCGACCUCACCGGCGGCUAAAAGGAUUUGACUUGCGGCCGCCGCCGCGCGUCUUCGACCGUGCUCUCCCACCCCAAUCUCCGGGUUGAUUACUACCAGAGACUAACUCGAAUCGUCGAUGAGCGCUCGAUCGAUCCCGUGACGGAGCGGCUCGGUUGCUCCAAAGCUCCGUUCUACGCCAUGCUCGCCGCCGCCGCCGCCAUGGCGGUGACCGUCCCUCGGGCGGCUUCUCAUUGUUUUCCAGCAAAUACGGCCAGGAAAUGUAGGACUUGCUGGAGCUGUCGUGCGGCAAGAGUCGAGGCUGGGCACUCCCGAUUGGAGGUGAGAAAAGUCACCUAUCGACCUCCUGGAACUGAACAGAACUUGUUGAAUGAAAUUAACCUCUCUCUUCAGGAAAAAAGUUUUGGUUUGAUAUUUGGACGGAGUGGGAGUGGAAAGACAACCCUUUUGCAGCUGUUGGCUGGUCUAUCAGAACCUACCUCUGGGUCUAUUUGCAUUCAGAAGUAUGAUGAUACUGGGAAUCCUAUUGGCUUGCCUGAACUGCUAACUUCUCAACGAGUUGGAAUUGUAUUUCAGUUUCCUGAGAGGUAUUUCUUAGCGGAUACUGUACUUGAAGAAGUUACUUUUGGAUGGCCUAGGCAAAAGGCAGACCUCCUAUUAAAAGAACAGCUCGCUUUAAAUCUUCAAAAUGCUUUUAACUCGGUUGGUCUGACAACCAUCUCAUUAGAUGAAAAUCCGCAAGCUCUAAGUGGUGGAUUUAAGAGGCGACUUGCUUUGGCAAUUCAACUGGUUCAAACUCCUGAUCUGUUGCUGCUUGAUGAGCCACUUGCUGGUCUAGAUUGGAAGGCUCGAGCUGAUGUUGUGAAUCUCCUAAAGGACCUGAAGAAACAUCAUACUAUACUGGUUGUAAGUCACGAUCUAAGGGAACUAUAUCCACUAGUGGAUCGCUCAUGGCGAAUGGAAAUGGGGGGAAGUUUGAAGGAGGAAGCUUUGCCUGUCUAAACAUGUGCUUGUCAGUAUAGCUGUCAGACAGCAUGUACAUAUUGGUCAUCCAAAUCUAGUCACAUCAACUACUUUUACAAACUUAGAUUAUGUCGGCUGGGAAAUUUCUUCAAGAUACAAUGGAGUCAGAGAUGGUUGUGAACAGUCAUUUGGUAAUGCGUGGUAACUUCCGAGCACGAAAAAAUGCUAGAAAAAAUCAGCAGAGAUCGUGAAUGUUAGCACGGAGCUUUGACUACUGCUGGAACGGGGAACAGUCUGACGCAGACAUUGUUGAGCUACCAUGAACGUUGAACAUUCCAUUGAAGUUUAGGUUCAGGAAUCAGGAUCCAGCGAUAGCUCCUUGUUGCAAACAUGAGGAUUGCAGAAGGCCUGUACACUUUGAAAGGUGGGGGGUCAAGUUUCAAAAUGGUGCGGAUGAUGGUUUGGAAAUGGUUUCCUUUGUUGAAGUUUCCCACUGGAGAGAUUCAGAGAACAUCAUUUACUUGCACUAUCGAUAGUCUGCAUCAUUCACAAUUUGCUGUUCCUUACGAACUCAUUUGUCUGGAUUCUGGAAGAAUAUGUUGUGCACAUGAGUAGAUUCUUGUUUCCUCCAAAGAUCUUUGACCUGCUGUUAUCACCACUUCUGGCAUGCGAGGAGCAAUCUCAGUCAUGCAGUUAUGUAUAUGAAUGUGCACCUCUGUUUGAAACGUCCACGUCACCGUACCGGCAGAAGGGAGGUAUGUUUGGCUGGUUCGGGGGGCUCUGAACGCUAUGCAAGUGAUGCUAUUGCUAUCCAAGAUCCUGUAAAAGGAGCCAAAGAAUCUUGCAAACAGGACACCUCUUCUGACCAGGGCUGUUGCCGGUCCAUUCGAAACUUCUGCUAGGAAGGCUCCAGGAAGCUGAUGCAGAGUUGGAAAGAUCUGGUUGAUCGGGUCGCUCUCCGCCUCUCCCUGCUGGAUAGAUUGCUGCUGCUGUUUUUUUUUCCCACACGAAAGGACCUUGCUACCUGUUGGUCUAUACUUUUUAUCAUUUUCCUUGUGCUGCUUUCCUUUUGGUCUGCUGAGACUUUGGGCAUGUCAGCAUCAGCUGUCAGAUCGGUACAGGUAACCUGCACCUCGUGACUUCUGAAAGAAAUUACCGACGGUGGGUACUACCCAGUGCCCAUCAAGCUAUCUUGUUGCCGGUUUUUGUGGUCUACUUAGGACCCUUUGAUGAUAAACAUACAAGUUGGGGGGUUCAUUUUGAAUAGUACUGUUUCCUGCAAAGAUCUGACGGCGGUUAUAUAUGAUGCUUUGUGCAGUUUUAUCAAGCAGAUCAUGUACCCUGUCUUAACGAUUAAGGAAAUGAAAAACAAAUCUUUGGAUACCUUGAAUAUUGGUGAAGUGGAUAGAUGUUUCAGAGACGGGAUUACCUCAUGUAGAGACGAAUAUCUGAACACCCGAGAAUGGUAUGAACAAAUACGUUGCGCCAAGGAACUGCAACUAAGAUUACUGCUUACCAUUGACUUUGUUCAGUUGAUAAAUUGUCAAGGCUUUAUGGUAAAAUCUGUGUUAGAAGAAACUUGAAACAAAUCUCAAGGAGAAAGGACUGAACUCAGUCGGGUAGCAUGUAUGAAUCUAUCUACCAGAAUAAUUGUUUUUUUUGCCACAUGUGGGUCUGAUAGCAAUUUUGUUUGUUGUAA